rnacentral:rRNA from 1 species
CACCCGCAGCUCGAGUGGUGGUCACUUUUAUUGAGCCUAAAGCGUUUGUAGCCGGUUUUGCAAAUCUUCAGAUAAAUUCCUCUGCUUAACAGAUGAUCUUCUGAAGAGACUGCGAGACUUGGGACCGGGUGAGGUUGAAGGUACUUCCGGGGUAGGGGUAAAAUCCUGUAAUCCUGGAAGGACGACCGGUGGCGAAGGCGUUCAACUAGAACGGAUCCGACGGUGAGGAACGAGGGCUAGGGUAGCAAACCGGAUUAGAUACCCGGGUAGUCCUAGCUGUAAACACUGCCCACUUGGUGUUGCCCCUCCGAUGAGGGGAGGCAGUGCCGGAGCGAAGGUGUUAAGUGGGCCGCUUGGGGAGUAUGGUCGCAAGGCUGAAACUUAAAGGAAUUGGCGGGGGAGCACCGCAACGGGAGGAGCGUGCGGUUUAAUUGGAUUCAACGCCGGAAAACUCACCGGGAGCGACCUUUGGAUGAGAGUCAGCCUGAUGAGCUUACUCGAUAGAAGGAGAGGUGGUGCAUGGCCGUCGUCAGCUCGUACCGUAGGGCGUUCACUUAAGUGUGAUAACGAGCGAGACCCCCAUCUCUAAUUGCUAACGUGCAUUCGCGUGUACGCGCACUUUAGAGGGACCGCCAGUGCUAAACUGGAGGAAGGAGGGGUCGACGGCAGGUCAGUACGCCCCGAAUCUCCCGGGCAACACGCGCGCUACAAAGGGCAGGGCAAUGAGUUGCCACCUCGAAAGGGGGAGCUAAUCUCGAAACCUGUUCGUAGUUAGGAUUGAGGGCUGUAACUCGCCCUCAUGAAUGUGGAUUCCGUAGUAAUCGCGGGUCAACAGCCCGCGGUGAAUAUGCCCCUGCUCCU